rnacentral:rRNA from 1 species
UCAGAGAAGAAUUUUGACGGUAUUUGAGGAAUAAGCAUCGGCUAACUCUGUGCCAGCAGCCGCGGUAAGACAGAGGAUGCAAGCGUUAUCCGGAAUGAUUGGGCGUAAAGCGUCUGUAGGUGGUUUACCAAGUCUUCUGUCAAAGAUCAGGGCUUAACUCUGGGCAGGCAGGAGAAACUAUUAGACUAGAGUUCGGUAGGGGCAGAGGGAAUUCCCGGUGGAGCGGUGAAAUGCGUAGAUAUCGG